UUUUUAAAGAAAGAGAAUGCAAGCUAGUUUUGAGAAAGGAAGGCCAAAUUGGGUCAGGGGAGGGUGGGAAUGAGGAAGUUAAAAUCACUAUAGGGAGAAAAAAUUUUUUUCAAGAUUUCCAAAGAGAAGAAAUUUUCUUAAUCCAUUAAGUUUUCAUGGUAAACAGUAUGUCAGAUUGGGUUGGUUGUCCUACCUAGUCUAUUUUUGAAAGUCACCUUUUAAAGUGACAUUAUUAGAUACACUUAAAUGUUUCCAAGGCACUCUCUGCAUUACCCUUGUUUUCCUCUUUGGAUACUGUCCUGGGACUAAAUGUAGGUUUCCACUUCAGGCACUUCUGGCAUUGUGUGUUUUUGUAUGCACUCCCCUUCAUGCCACUCCAGAUAUUUAUUUGGAUGUGGUUGGGGAUGAGAGCAGACACCAAGGGAAGGGAGUUGGAGAACAUGUAAGUCCCGACCUGAAGGUCUUUUGUGAUGUGUGAAUAGGAUUGCCCUGACCCACACCCUCCUUUCUUGGGAUUAUACCAGCCAUCUUCCUGAGAGUUUUGGAGCCCUCUAGGAUAUUUUUUCUAGUACCCCAACCCUAAAGAAAGACCUUAAUAUGUUAAAACAGCAUUGCUUGGAGAAGGUGUCAUUGAAUUCGGGUAUGAGCCGGAGCCUUUAAAUGGGUGCUUCCACCACUACAGGCUUCUGACAAGAGAACCAGGCACUGUUGCUUAGAAAAACACACAAAGUUGCCGAACACAGGGUAAAAUUUCCACGGCACUGAUCGUUGCCCUGGCCAGGGCCCGAUGAGAGCCAGUCAGUACAUCCUUUUUUCCCUACAGUUCUUGGGUUUCAAACUUCAGUUUCAGGGAAUUUCAAGUCAACAACAGGUAGAAUGAAUAAACUUGGUUACCAGCCUAAUAAUGUGAAUUGCUACAGAAUUAUUCUUAUUAUGUAAGAAAACAAAAACCUUAUGCAGAUACUUUAGCUAUAAAUUGAUGUAAAAUACUGAUUUUUUUAAAGGAAGGAGAGAACAGUAUCUUGUUCAAUUAUUAUGCAAUCAAUCAGUAAAUGUUUUUAAAAUGAUACUACAGGAGAGCUUAGUAAGGAGAGGGCAUGGAUGGGCCAGUUUGGCAUAGUUAGGAUAAAUCAAUGUGGUUUCCAUCCCAGUCGGGGAAGAGAGAGGAGGUGAGAGGGAAUCAGAACGUACCUGUUGAUUCCUUGGUGACAAGUGCAAUGGGGUAUGGGUAGAAUUUAUUUUCAGAGCCAAGAGGACUUGAUGGUUAUAAAUAAAGUUGCCUUUAGCAAUGGAAUUUACAGAUAGAUCAUGUUGUUCCGAAAGAUGUGAAUAGGAUCCAUGAUAACAAGUUGAUUCAGAACAAUGUAGAUAUUUAGAUUAGCAAGUAUUGAACAUUUGAUUUCUUAGACUGAGGUUUUAAUUGAAUUUCAUUAUGUCUCCCGGUAAUACACAGAGCAUCGGGAUUAGGAAAUUAGCCAUUUUGGAUUCUGCCUGCCACAAACAGACCUAUUCUAAACAGUGCUAUUAAAUUUUAGACUGUUCAAAUAUUUUAUUUUCUCCUACAACUACUUUUUAUGAUGAUGAACAAUUAAGACCAUUUAAAACACGGGAGUACAAGUAUUUUUUUGAAUUAAAUUAACUUGCAAAAACCAAAUUUGCAGUGGUUGGGUUGUUUCUAGACAGACUUUGGUAUCAAUUUAAAACCAAGAUAAUUUUUAUAUUCUUUCCAAUAGAAUUUCAUGACAACUCCUGCAGUUUUCUUAACCUACAAAAAAAAAAAAAAAAAGUGCUGCAAUGAUGAACAAAGAAUUAUACAAAACCUACUUUUGUAUCUUUAUUUUGGAAUUUCUUGUUCUAUUAUAAAUAUGGAAGUAUCCCUAUUUCAGAAGACAUAUUUUGUUAAAAAUGAAUUGUACAUAUUUAAAUAUGUAUUUUUGCACAGGUCUUUUUUUCUGAUAUCCUGUUUUGGUACAAUUGAGAUCAUCUAGUAUUUAUUUAUUAAUUAAUAAAAGUAAAUACCUUUUUAUAAUUUGAAGUGGUUCACUGCCAAGCCAAUAGUUCUAGAACCUGCCUCCUUUACAGUUUUAAGGGAUGCCUCUGUUCUGUGAAAAGUCUUUGUCCCUUUUAGUGUCUCGGGAGUGGAUUCAUACAGAUGAAGUGGGCAUUGCUUCUUCCUGGUUGCCUGGUUUCCUGAUAGACUACAUGUAACUAAGUGACACACUGCUUUUCUUUUGUUAGUAUUUUAUGUGUGAGAGUGUGUGAUUGCGUGUGUGUGUGUGUGUGUGUGUGUAUACUCUGAGCACAUGUAUGUUAGUAUGUGAUGUGGUUUAAAACUAAUGGAAAAAACUGAAAAGUGCCUGAACCUAGUUUUAAGCUUAGACAGAAUCUCUUUAAAAAGACUUGAAUGUUCAGUUGAACUUUUGGAGUUUGCUUUUUUCCACAUAAAUAUUGUUUCUAAAAUUUUAGGGGAGGAGUUGAAAACCACCCAUGCUGGUAAUUUUAUAAGGUAUUUUAAAAUUAAGACCUUUUGGUUCAUAGUAAUUCAAUUGGUGAUGGAUUGCCUGGUGGCACCAAAGGUUGCAAAUCUUUUUGUCAGCCAGCAACUUACACGAUGUGUCCGUUUUGUUAUUCACUCAUGAAAUACAAUUUAAAAUAAAAUAUUUAAAAUAUUUUGUAUUCCAAAAAUAUAAUACAAGUAAGUACCUCUGAGAACAUGAAAAAAAUGUAUAAUUUGAAAAAUGUAACUUAUAAAGGCAGCUGUCUUCCUGUAAGAGUUCUGUUGCCAAGGAAUUUCUUAAUGUCGCUCAUUCUGUCCAGGGGGUUUGGGGGGAUUGGGCUUUGAAAAAAUAUUGUUAAAAAGUUUGUUUAGCAGAAAAUAAUCAUUUUUACAUUUUGUGCAAAACAUUUUACAUUUUCAGAUCAUUUAAAUGAGCACUACAUACUGUCAGUGUGAAUGUAGGGCCUUGAAAGCAUUUUGCUUUUUUUUUUUUUUUGAGCUUGGUUAUAAAAGCAAUCUCCUGUGUUAAAAACGUGUGAAUAGUUUGGUAAUUUGUACACAUAAUCAAGAGCAUCUCAGCUGGACUUUGUGUUGGCUGCUGUAUAGAACAUGAACAAAUGUCAAGGGAUAGAAAAUUACUUUGGAUAUUUAAAAGAGAAGAAAUAUAUAGUCUAUUUGUUUUGUAACAAGUUUCUGUAAAUAAAAUAAUUUAUACUAUUUAUAAGAAAAGGUUGUGCUUUGCUUUAUAAGAAAUUAGCUUGUGGAACAAACAUGUUACUUAACGGGCAAUAAAAUUAGGACUUCUCAAUAAAUAAGGUUGGCUGCAUGAAAUAUUUUACAUGUUUCUGCCUCGUUGUGAUACUAAACUCUUUCAGUCCACUCUGACUUUUCAUCACUUUUGGCAUUGAACACCCUUGUGAAGCCCCUUCACUUUAGCCUCCCUGUUAUAUAAGCUAAAUACCUCUAAGACUGGGGGAUGUUUCCAUUUGCGGGCACAAAGCUUUGCCUUGGAUAAAUUAGCAACUGUGUAAACAGUGAACACUGCUGUAUUCUGGCCUUGCAUGUUUGUGAAGGAAACGAGGGAGUUGAUGGAUUGAGAAACACAUUCUGUUUGUACUUAGGUGCAAAAUUGAUGACAUGUAGUUUUGAUUUAAGAUAAGCUUUUUAUCCAGACCUGGUCUAAUCUCUUCCUUUUACAUACCUCCCUUACUGGCAAUACAAGUGCAUUUUAGUAUUAUUUGGAACACAGCAUAAUCAUUUACCUCUAGAAAUCCAGACAUUUUUACUGUUUGCAAAUCAUUCUGAUAAAUUAUUUGUGUUGCUUAGAGGAGCAACUGCUUUGUAUAUUAGCAAAAAUGUUCAUACCUGAUAUGAAAGAGUCAUGUUGGCUUCAGUUCCUACUGCCCUGUGGACUUCCCAUUCCCUCCUUACUUAAGUCAGCCACCCACUCAGUACUUCCCACAAAUCUAAUCAUGAGGUGCUCUCUGUAGGUAAAUCCUUUCACCAUGGAUGUCCUCAAACUUCCCAAGAAAAGGUUCAACUGCUAAGUCAAUCUCUUACCCUUUUUAAUUCCAUUCCCUUGCAGGUAUCCCGGCCCUGCAUAACAAGAUGAUCCCAACUCAAGGAAAAGGGUUUAGCAAUGUUGGAUCUUGGCAUAUGUGGGAUUUCACCAGGCAGAAAGGCAGACAAGAGUAAGAUUCUAGGCAGAUGGAGCAAAUGCGUCGAACAUGGGUAUGAAGAUGUUGAGGAAUACAGAAUAAUUCUGCAGGAAUUUUGCUGGAUGGAAGGGCCUUAUAGGGUUAGAGAAGCUGGUGUCAGACUGUCAAGGACCUUGAAUGUCAUGGGGCCUCAUCCAGGAACACAUGGGAUCAGGCUUAGAUUAACCCAAAUGUAACUGUCAGAGCCCAGAGAUAUUUCAUGGUCCAGUUCUAGCACCGUGCAGCUGCCAAAAGUCAAAGCCAUUCAAAUCUGUACUGAAAACUUUGGAAAAUCAAAGACGCACUUAAGUCUCUUUUCCCAUCUCUUGAAUUCUCACUCUUUUGCUUCAAAGAUCUGUCUUUACCUGCCCCUGUCCCCAGUCCUAACAAAAAGCACUCCCCUAAAUCAAGUCUAAGUUCCUCUCCCUUCUCACUCCUUUCUUAGUCUCCUCUUUCUUGUAAGAAGUUCUUGCUUCUGUUGUUAAUGGAAGUUAAUUAAAGUAGUCUUUCACUUUGUAAGGCUGUAAUUCUUGGCACUUGUUAUCCUCAUUUUCUACAUCCAAAACCCGUGAACUAGAAUAUCUCUUAGGAGGUAAGGAAGAGUGAGGCUAUCAGCCGAAGAAAAAGUCUCCAGAGGGAAGGGGAGAAUCACUUGUAAUUUAAUACUUUGUCAAAAAAACAUCUCUGCCACCUAUGGCCCCCCAGUAACAAUGGAAGACAGAAUCAACAGGUGAGAACCUCGGACAAAAAUAAGUUACAAAGCUGUUGUAAUCCAGGUAAGAGCUAUUAAGUUUCCAAACUAAGGCUGACCAUGAGGAUACCUGAUACUGAUUUCAGAAAUCUUUUAAAAGUAGAACCAACAGGCCUUGAGGUCUAAUUCUAUUCAACAUUAAAGGGAAGAGUGAGUCUAAGAAGACUUCAGAUUUUUAGCUUGGCCAAACCAAUUGAGCUUUAAGUGAAAUGUGUGAUAUGGCAAUAGAGAAGGAAAAAGACAUAAUGAUAGAUUUGAGCUGCUGGUGGGAAAUUGUGGUUUAGUGCCCAGCUGGCUGUACAGGCUGGAUGGACCUUAGGAGGGAGGUUUGAGCUGGAAAAUAAAGAUGGAGAGUUGUCUUUCACUUUUAGAUGAUCAAUGAGGUCAUAAGGGUAGAUGAGUUUACCUGGGAAAAUUAGGUAGCUAUUCGAUUUGGCUUCUUAUGUUAAAAUAAUACUUCUCUAGUUAAGUACUUAAUAUACCUGACACUGUGCCAAGUUAUAUAUAUCCUCUCUUUUACGAAGCCCUCAUAGGGCAGGUAUUUUGAUUCCAAUCAUACUGAUGAGGAACUCCUAAGAAGGUAUCUUGCUUAAGGUCCCAUGACAAAUAGGUGGCAGAUCCAGGAUAAUUCAAGCCUGUCAGAACAGUGAUUCUUAAUUUUUCCCCUCCUCAGGCUCCAGGAAUCACAUGAAGUUAUGGAUCCUGUCUGACCGAGGCACAGGCACACUACAUUUUUAUAAUCCGCCUCCAGGAUAUCACAAACCUGAAGCCCAUCCUCCAUGGCCCAGAGAGAAAACCCAGGACAAGACCUUGGAGAAGACUAUUUUCAUGAAGACAAAUGGAGAAAAGCACUAGAGGAAAAAGUCAGAGAGCAAAUCCAGCUGCCGCUACAAUCCAUGCCACCGAAUGCCAUAGUGAGACUUAAAAGUUAAGAUACUGAAGAGACAUAACCUGACCAAGGCCACAGAGUUGGAAAAAGCAGCAAAGCCAAGCCCUUUUUCUCAUGCACUGCUCACAACAAGCCACUCCUUCCACUGACUCAUGAAAAACAUACUCAUAAUGCCCAGCCUGCACCCUAAUGAACAACCCUCUUGGAGAGUGGUCAUCUGACUUCAAUUUCACAGACUAGAAUUCAGAAAUGGAACAAAAUAUUGGGAUACCUGCCUUCUGUUUUGGGAAGGAUCAUUUAAAAAAUGUGUUGGUGUCUGAAACUUACCUUCAAGUGGUUAAAAAACAUAAAAUGUAUAGAUUGUGACAAUAUGUUAAAAGGUACUGUACAAUUCUUUAGAAUGUUAUGGAUGUUUGAAAUUUAAAAAAUACUAAAAAGAAAAUGGUCUUA